UCGGGAAUUUUGGGCAAUGGGGGAAACCCUGACCCAGCAACGCCGCGUGAAGGAUGAAGUAUUUCGGUAUGUAAACUUCGAAAGAAUAGGAAGAAUAAAUGACGGUACUAUUUAUAAGGUCCGGCUAACUACGUGCCAGCAGCCGCGGUAAUACGUAGGGACCAAGCGUUGUUCGGAUUUACUGGGCGUAAAGGGCGCGUAGGCGGCAUGACAAGUCACUUGUGAAAUCUCUGGGCUUAACCCAGAACGGCCAAGUGAUACUGUCGCGCUAGAGUGCAGAAGGGGCAAUCGGAAUUCUUGGUGUAGCGGUGAAAUGCGUAGAUAUCAAGAGGAACACCUGAGGUGAAGACGGGUUGCUGGGCUGACACUGACGCUGAGGCGCGAAAGCUAGGGGAGCAAACGGGAUUAGAUACCCACGUAGUCCCUGAGCGGGCUGGCAAGGCGCAU
rnacentral:rRNA from 1 species